UAUACAUCGGAAGAAAAAAUGUUUUUUUGGGACAGGUCUUCAGUGGUGAACUUCGCGUCACAAUUUCUGGUGUGCAGAGGAGUUUUAGAAACUAUGAAAUAUUAGUUUACCAGUGAUUUAUGAUAAGAAUAGUACUAAUUAUGGAUUCACUGCCUCUAAAUCAUUAACCUCACUUACUCCAUGAUAAGUUGAUAUUGUCCAUAGUUAGAAAGUUAGAUGAAUGUCAAAAUGAAAUAAUAAUCUACAAUUAAUCUUAUGAACAAUAUAUAUUCAUAAGUGUUUCAGUGA